rnacentral:rRNA from 1 species
UACGAAGGGGGCUAGCGUUGCUCGGAAUCACUGGGCGUAAAGCGCACGUAGGCGGCUUAUUAAGUCGGGGGUGAAAUCCUGGAGCUCAACUCCAGAACUGCCUUCGAUACUGAUGAGCUUGAGUCCGGGAGAGGUGAGUGGAACUCCGAGUGUAGAGGUGAAAUUCGUAGAUAUUCGGAAGAACACCAGUGGCGAAGGCGGCUCACUGGCCCGGUACUGACGCUGAGGUGCGAAAGCGUGGGGAGCAAAC